rnacentral:snRNA from 10 species
GUACUUAUCUGACAGAGAGGCAUUCUGAUCAUGAAGAUGCUUUUUGAGAGGGAGCCUCAUCACUAGCACUUCAGGUAAGCUGACUCCUGCAAUUUUCCCAGAUCCAGAGAACUUGACUGUGAAUUUGUGAUAUAGGAGAGUGAUUGUUCUUUUUCCUG